GGGACAUCUGCCUCCUGGACAGUUUCAUUGUUUGUCAGUUUUUGGAUGUAGAGAGUAACUAUGAAUUGGGUUAUCCUUGAAUUCUCUCAUGACAAAAUAAGAAUGAUUUAUAACAUCACUAAAUAAAUGGAUUGCGUGGUGGACUUGCACAGGAGGGAGAGAGAUACCUAUGCACCAGGCAAAGUGAGAGACAUUUUGGUUAACAAAGUCACAUGAACCUGUCCUGCUUUGCAAGGUGCUAGAGCAAAACCACAAUAUCUUUGCCGACUGGCAGUGAGAGAGGUGGAUUAGAAGGUUCCAGGAUCUGAAGGAGUUUUGUGGCCUAAGAAAAUUAAUAGAGGGGUACCGAAAGAGAGAGAAAUGUAAACAAAUAAAGGAAGGGAGGGGGAGUCUUUUAGCCAGGAAGACCAUUCUUUGUGCAGGAAAGCCUUUGCCUACCUUAGGUAGUGUUGGGAACAAAGGAGAUACCAACAUGAACAGACUACAGUUGGAUGAUUUCUUUAUCCAAGGCAUCGCUGUGUGACCCGGGCAUGCCGACGUGGCUGGAUGAGGAUACUGUUGCAUGUAAGUGUGAAGGUAGGCUGGACACCAGGAGGAGAGAAAACUUGAGUGUUGUGCAGGAAGGCCAGAGAGAGUGCCAGUCCCAGGCGAGAGAUACAGGGCCCUCUCCAAGAGUGCAGGCUGGAGAUCCAGCGGUGCGGUGUGGCCUGCACAUGCCUGUCACGGGGCCGGCAUACCUGUUCCUAACUCCCCCCGGAAACGCUGCGCGAGUGGGUGUCGGGGGGGGGGGGUGUGAAGCAAAGAACGGAGCAUGUGGCCAGGCAGUGGGGAGAGGGCUUACGGGAGUUGGGCCGGUCGCAGACAAGUGCUCUGUCAAUGUGCUUCUGAAGGAAAGCGGGGAGGUCAAGGCCAGGAAAGGUUUCAGAGAGACUCCUGCAACCUGCUCCUGUGGGGCAGCGCGGGCAGCUGGGAGGUCGAGGGCCCAGCAUCCAUUUCGGAUGCGGGGAGAAGUCGGGGGCACGGAGGCGCCGGCCGGCAGACAGAAGAAGAAGAAGAAGAUGGCGCCGCCCCGGAAUAUUGCACAACGAUAAACAUGUAGUGACAUGGAUGAAUCUCACUGACGGGAGGAUGAGUAAAAUCAAG
rnacentral:lncRNA from 1 species